UUUGACUCAACACGGGAAAACUUACCAGGUCCGAACUUAUUGAGGUAAGACAGAUUAAUAGCUCUUUCUCAAAAUUAAGGGUAGUGGUGCAUGGCCGUUCUUAGUUCGAAAAUAUAGAAUAUUUUGUUCAUUGCUUAAUUUUUAUUUAGAGAUAAAUUUAAGGAACAGAAAGAGCAGCACAACUGCUAGAUCAGGCUGACAAAGAUUGUCAAGG
rnacentral:ncRNA from 1 species